CUGUGACACAUUUCAGUAACUACCAGAUGGGCCUUGGGUGGAUGUGUCCAAUGGGAAAACCAAGUUGGAAAUGACAGGACUGGCAGCCGCCUCCUCAUUGAAAUCUGGGAAAUCAGGGAAUCGAAUCAAUUGAAGAAUUCUUAGACUUUACUCUGGUUUUGUAAGUUCUGUGUUUCAAAUUCCUUUUCACAUUGUAGAUAGAGUUAGACAACUACUAAUUUGUGGCCAUAUUACAACUGAUUAGGGUAGAGGGUUAGUCUCUGAUUGUAACCAGCUACCUUGGAAAGGCCAUGCCAACUCUUUUAGGUCACUUAGCUUUCAUCAGUGCCCAAAGGGGAAGUUUCUACCAAGUGAUAGCAUAAGGUAUAUGAUAAUAGAUAGGGCCCAGAUUUUAAAGUCCAGCUGCCCAGUGAGAAUGCUUGUUCUGCUUCUCACUUGCACCACAAUCUUUGUGCCUUGGUUGCUACAGCUGCAAAAUAAUAGCACCUCACUUGUGGG
rnacentral:lncRNA from 1 species